AUUGAACGCUGGCGGCAGGCCUAACACAUGCAAGUCGAACGGUAGCACAGAGAGCUUGCUCUCGGGUGACGAGUGGCGGACGGGUGAGUAAUGUCUGGGAAACUGCCCGAUGGAGGGGGAUAACUACUGGAAACGGUAGCUAAUACCGCAUAACGUCGCAAGACCAAAGUGGGGGACCUUCGGGCCUCACACCCUCGGAUGUGCCCAGAUGGGAUUAGCUAGUAGGUGGGGUAAUGGCUCACCUAGGCGACGAUCCCUAGCUGGUCUGAGAGGAGGAGCAGCCACACUGGAACAGAGACACGGUCCAGACUCCUACGGGAGGCAGCAGUGGGGAAUAUUGAACAAUGGGCGCAAGCCUGAUGCAGCCAUGCCGCGUGUAUGAAGAAGGCAUUCGGGUUGUAAAGUACUUUCAGCGGGGAGGAAGGCGGUGAAGUUAAUAGCUUCACCGAUUGACGUUACCCGCAGAAGAAGCACCGGCUAACUCCGUGCCAGCCGCCGCCGUAA
rnacentral:rRNA from 1 species